rnacentral:misc_RNA from 1 species
UUAAUAUUUUGUUUUAAACUGACGAUACUGCUACUGCAAAGGUUUAUUUGGGGGUCCUAGCGGCGGGCACGCCCGCCGAGGAAACAAACGGUGCUCAUAAACAAAGGGUGCUAUCUCGAUGGGGACGAAUCCCCACGAUAAUGAUCCUUCCGCAGGUUCACCUACGGAAA